CGUCAUUAGAAUUUAAUACAGCUGUGCACAGAAAUUGAGCACAAGGCAAAUCUAGCUUUAUUUGGGUUAUAGGUAAAUGGGACGAGGUAAAAAGAGUCCGUUCAUUGUGCCUCUAGUGUCCUUAUGUACAACUGUCCUCAUUUCAAAUUUUUCAUCCCAUUGUUAGGCCAUGCGUCCAGUCAUGUGUUUCAGUAUCUCAUUCAGAAAGCGUGGUCUCUAUAAUUAAAUGACGAUAAAGAGAGACACAGGACAGUAACCAUAGGAUAGAAUCUUUGCUCUUCUCUUUGUGUCUUGAAGGGCAGUGAGCAAGCUAGACCAGAAAGAAAGAGCCCUUUCAUCGUGCCCGUCAG
rnacentral:lncRNA from 1 species